GUUUAAGUAGCUUAUUAGAGCAUAACAUUGAAGAUGUUAGGGAGGUUGUUCAAACCUUUAGACA
rnacentral:tRNA from 1 species